rnacentral:rRNA from 1 species
UAAGGAAUAUUGGUCAAUGGGCGCAAGCCUGAACCAGCCAUGCCGCGUGAAGGAUGAAGGCGCUCUGCGUUGUAAACUUCUUUUGUAUGGGAAGAAUGGGUGGGAUUUAUCCUGCAAGAGACGGUACCAUACGAAUAAGCACCGGCUAACUCCGUGCCAGCAGCCGCGGUAAUACGGAGGGUGCAAGCGUUAUCCGGAAUCACUGGGUUUAAAGGGUACGUAGGCGGUUAGUUAAGUCAGUAGUGAAAGACCGUUGCUCAACAACGGAUGUGCUACUGAUACUGGCUGACUUGAAACAGGUUAGAGUCGGCGGAAUGGGUCAUGUAGCGGUGAAAUGCUUAGAUAUGACUUGGAACACCGAAAGCGAAGGCAGCUGACUGAGCCUCGUUUGACGCUGAGG